GAUGAAGAACGUAGCGAAAUGCGAUAAGUAAUGUGAAUUGCAGAAUUCAGUGAAUCAUCCAAUCUUUGAACGCACAUUGCGCCCGUUAGCAUUCUAGCGGGCAUGCCUGUCCGAGCGUCAUUUCAACCCUCAGGGUCCCCGUUCCGGCGGGGAACCUGGUGUUGGGGAUCGGCCCGCCCCGUGCGGCGCCGUCCCCCAAAUUCAGUGGCGGUCUCGCUGCAGCCUCCCCUGCGUAGUAGUUACAACCUCGCAUCGGAGCUCAGCGCGGCCACGCCGUAAAACCCCCGACUUUCUGAACGUUGACCUCGGAUCAGGUAGGAAUACCCGCUGAACUUAAGCAUAUCAAUAAGCGGAGGA
rnacentral:misc_RNA from 1 species